rnacentral:lncRNA from 1 species
UUUAUUUUGUGCCUUUUACAAAUCAAAGGAGAAAGUGCUUAUAUCAGAGCUACAAAAAAUUCUUUGAUAAAUGCUGAAAGAAAAACAAACCAGUUGGCUCUUACAUAAAUUGGCAUUUGAAAAAGUAAUUAAAAGGAAGUAUGAUUUACCCUUUUGCUUGUUCUUGACAUGCAGUAAACCCAGUUUUCACCACUCCAUCCGGUGAUGGCUUGAGGAGUGCCUCCCACACACAGUCAAGGCUUUGCUUAAACAGAAUAACGCCAUCUCAGACUAUUUUCUUUUUCACCCCAGGAGUUCAGAAAGGGCUCUUGGGAGGAAUACAGAGAAGGAAAACAAGAAGUGUGUGGCUUGCCCCUCACCAAAAGACAUUUCCAAUGAAGCUCAUCAUGAGGCAGCCUCAGCACAUCAAGGCAGAAUUCUGAGUCACGUUCCACAGCAAAGCCUGUGGUUGUCACAAUGGCUGAUGCCACCUGGAAGAGAAUGCUGUAUUGUACUCUGCAGAGAAGUACUUUAGUUAGUGACUCCUGAGCAACUGGUCACACCAUGUGCCAGUCCUUUCUUUUCUUAUUAAUAUCCUUGAAGUGCAUGAUAUUCACCCCUGCUUGAAGUUGGUACAUGAAUACUGAGAUGAAUAAGGCAUACCCCCUACACUCAAGAAACUCAUUUGAAUGGGAAACAUGGACACCAAGCAGAUGGUGGAGAAGGAGAGCAGAAGACUACUUCCUCUUCCUAGAAACAUUUUCCUCUCAUGACCACCACUGUCCUUCUCCCCUAACUGGUCAUGACAUCUAAGGAGAGCAUGAAUCUCAAUAUGUGUUAUCUUAUUAAAUAUAAUUGUAUAAUUUUCAGCCUAAAUUAAAAGACAAGUGAGUGUUAAAGUUGUUUUACAUGAAAAUUUUUGAGAGCUUAUAGUGUAUGAUAAAAAAAAAUUUAGCAAAGCAUGCCUUGAUAAAUUUGAUAAAUAAAAUCAUUUUACUGCCAUAUCC